AUGCAGCCACCGCAGCCGCGGCCUGAGGACUACUCGUUGAAAGAGACAACACCCUGCCUUGGGGGUUUUAUGGCAGCAGGGGACAAGCGCACAAGUACAUACGACCUUGUGGAGCAGAUGCCAUAUCUCUACGUGCGCGCUGUCAAGGCCAAAGACCUCCGUGCCAAGGAUGGGUCUGGGAGCUGUGACCCAUCAGUAGAGAUCAAGCUUGGGAAUUACAGGUGCACCACCCGUCAGUUUGAGAAGAAUACUAACCCGGAGUGGAACCAAAUCUUUGCCUUUCCCAAGGAAUGCAUCCAGUCCUCCUAUAUUGAGAUCACUGUCAAAGACAAGGAUGAUAUCAUUGGGCGAGUCAUCUUUGACCUCAGUGAAGUUCCAAAGAGAGUCCCACCUGACAGUCCUUUAGCACCAGAGUGGUACCGUCUUGAGGGUCGGAAGGAGGGAAGGGUCGGAGAGCUAAUGUUGGCUGUCUGGAUGGGUUCACAGGCAGAUGAAGCUUUCCCAGAAGCUUGGCAUGCUGAUGCUGCGACAGUGCCUAGCGAUGGUCUAGCAAGCAUAAGGUCUAAGGUGUAUUUAACUCCUAAGCUUUGGUAUCUCAGGGUAAAUGUUAUUGAGGCACAAGACCUGGUACCAAGUGACAAGUGCCGCUAUCCAGAAGUUUAUGUGAAAGCUACACUUGGGAAUCAGUCCUUGAGGACAAGGAUAUCUGCAAGCAAGAGUGUUAACCCCAUGUGGAAUGAGGAUCUGAUGUUUGUGGCAGCUGAACCAUUUGAGGAGCACUUGAUUCUUAGCGUUGAGGAUCGGAUUGCGCCAAACAAGGACGAGGUAUUAGGGAAAGCAUGUAUUCCACUGCAGAAUGUAGACAGGAGGCCCGACCACAGGCCAGUGCACAGCCGGUGGUGUAAUCUUGAGAAGCAUAUAGCGGGAGAUGGGGAACAGAAGAAAAAAGAUGUCAAGUUCUCUAGUCGUAUUCACCUCAGGAUUUCUUUGGAUGGUGGGUAUCAUGUUCUGGAUGAGUCAGCACAUUACAGUAGCGAUCUGAGGGCCACCGAGAAACAGCUGUGGAAGCCUAGCAUUGGGGUUCUUGAGCUAGGAAUCCUAAAUGCUCAAGGAUUACUGGCAAUGAAGACUAAGGAUGGGAAUGGCACCACAGAUUCUUACUGUGUUGCGAAGUACGGGCACAAGUGGGUCAGAACAAGGACCAUCAUCGACAGUUUCAGCCCAAAAUGGAAUGAACAAUACACCUGGGACGUGUAUGAUCCUUGUACGGUGAUAACAGUUGGUGUGUUCGAUAACUGCCACUUGCAAGGGGAGAAGUCCAAAGGAAACAAGGACAGCAGAAUUGGCAAGGUACGGAUCCGCCUGUCCACUCUCGAGUCUGGCAGAGUCUAUACGCACUCGUACCCUCUUAUCAUUUUGCUUCCUACGGGCGUGAAGAAGAUGGGUGAAGUGCAGCUUGCUGUGCGCUUCACAUGCUACUCGCUGGUGAACAUGAUGCAGCUGUACUCUCAGCCGCUGCUGCCGAAGAUGCACUAUGUUUACCCUCUGUCUGUCACGCAGCUUGAUGUUCUGAGGCUCCAGGCUACUCACAUGGUCUCGACGAAAUUGAGCCGUGCCGAGCCACCUCUCACGAAAGAAGUUGUUGAGUACAUGUUGGAUGUGGAUUCUCACAUGUGGAGCAUGAGGAAGAGCAAGGCAAACUUCUUCAGGAUUAUGAAAGUGUCGACCCCCCUUGUUGGAGCUGCUCAAUGGUUUGAUAAGAUUUGUGAAUGGAAGAACCCGCUGACCACUGUGUUGAUUCAUCUCCUGUUCAUCAUUUUGGUUACGUUUCCAGAGCUGAUCCUUCCGACCGUUUCCCUGUAUAUGUUCUUGAUUGGGGUCUGGUUCUACCGGUGGAGGCCAAGGCAGCCACCUCACAUGGACACUCGUCUUUCACAUGCCGAGACCUCCAACCCUGAUGAGUUUGAUGAGGAGUUUGAUACUUUCCCCACAUCCCGUGCACAUGAUGUCGUUCGGAUGAGGUAUGAUCGACUCAGGAGCAUUGCAGGCAGGGUGCAGACAGUUGUUGGUGACUUGGCAACACAAGGUUCCGCUGCCACGGGCUUCCAUCUGCUCCCCUCAACUUCUUCAGGAGGCUACCGGCGAAAACGGACAGCUUGCUGUGAGACCGUCCCGUGCCAGGUAACAUCAGAGUGUUUUCCAGCAUUGGCGACGGCAUUGCAUGGAUGGAACCUGAAAUGCGCAGACAAUUUUUCUUCAAGAAUUGUUAUCUUUCGUUGUAUGUUAAUUUAG
rnacentral:rRNA from 1 species